rnacentral:rRNA from 1 species
AGAUUGAACGCUGGCGGCAUGCCUAACACAUGCAAGUCGAACGGGAGUAGCAAUACUCUAGUGGCGGACGGGUGAGGAAUACGUAGGAAUUUGCCCUUAAGUGGGGGAUAACCCGGGGAAACCCGGAUUAAUACCGCAUGACCUCGAAAGAGCAAAGUGGGGGAUCGCAAGACCUCACGCUUUUGGAGAAGCCUACGUCGGAUUAGCUAGUUGGUGAGGUAAUGGCUCACCAAGGCGACGAUCCGUAACUGGUCUGAGAGGAUGAUCAGUCACACCGGAACUGAGACGACGGUCCGGACUCCGUACGGGAGGCAGCAGGUGGGGAAUAGUUGGACAA